CAGGCCUAACACAUGCAAGUCGAACGAAGCCUUCGGGCUUAGUGGCGCACGGGUGCGUAACGCGUGGGAAUCUGCCCUUGGGUUCGGAAUAACAGUUAGAAAUGACUGCUAAUACCGGAUGAUGACGUAAGUCCAAAGAUUUAUCGCCCAGGGAUGAGCCCGCGUAGGAUUAGCUAGUUGGUGAGGUAAAGGCUCACCAAGGCGACGAUCCUUAGCUGGUCUGAGAGGAUGAUCAGCCACACUGGGACUGAGACACGGCCCAGACUCCUACGGGAGGCAGCAGUGGGGAAUAUUGGACAAUGGGCGAAAGCCUGAUCCAGCAAUGCCGCGUGAGUGAUGAAGGCCUUAGGGUUGUAAAGCUCUUUUACCCGGGAUGAUAAUGACAGUACCGGGAGAAUAAGCUCCGGCUAACUCCGUGCCAGCAGCCGCGGUAAU
rnacentral:rRNA from 1 species